rnacentral:lncRNA from 1 species
UUAUUUUUAUUUUAGGGUUUUGUUGGCUAGAAUUUGGCACAGAAGCACAGGAAUCCAUGGGCAGCUUUGGGGAUUUUGACCAUUGAGCCUCCUCCUUCCAACUAGACAUCAGCAAGUGGCCAUCUGAGCAUUUACCUCUGAAAAUCUUCUUUUCUGGGUGUGGAAGUGACCUUAUUUUUCACAAGUGCUGCCCAUGUUAAAGAGAGCAAAAUACAGCACCUGGUGGAAAAUCUGUUUAGAUAUCCAGGACUAGUAAGUUACUUCUGAUAAUUCAGGAAAUAAAACAAGAGGUGAAAAAUGAUUGGAAUUAAUAUCUCUAUGCAAGGAAUGAAUCUUGCUUUUCAACAAAUUGAGGACCUGUCUGGUGAUUGUUCUCUCCUGAGCGCAGCAGGCUCAAUUAAAGGGAAUGGCAGCCAGUAUUCCUUCAACAGAUCACAGCAAGACGGACAGGGAACUUCUUUUGAUUGAUUUGUGCAAGAAAGUACUAACAGAUUUAUAAAGCAAAAAAUAAAAAAGAGGAUUGAAGUUAUACCUGCUGUCCU